rnacentral:lncRNA from 1 species
AGUCAACACAAGGGAAAGACUUGAGUUACUUCCAACAGGGGUCUAUUCGUCAGUCAAAACGUUAAUCUUGAAGGAGAAAAGGUUUGUUCAUGAGCUGUCAUGCUCGCUAGGCGAAGCCCACGUGUUUUAAAAAAAACAAAAAACAAAAAAAAACGAAGAAAAAAAACGAAAAACGAAAAAAAUAAAUAAAUAAAUAAAAGAAAAAAUCUUG